ACACUUACCUUGCAGAGGAGAUACCAUGAUCACGAAGGUGGCUUUCCCAGGGCAAGGCUUAUCCAUUGCACUCUGGAUGUGCCAAACCCUGCGAUUUCCCCAAAUGUGGGAAACUCGACUGCAUGAUUUGUGGUAGUGGGGGAUGCCUUCGCGCUCUAGCCUUA
ensembl:snRNA U1 U1 spliceosomal RNA